CGAUUGUGCUGCAAUACAAAGAAGGCUGUGCGCAGAGUGCAGUCGUCCUAGAUAACAGGACCGCUCAGCCAGAGAAGAAACCAAUCUCCACUGCGCAGCAGGCAAAGCAGGCAUUAUGAAUUUUGAACAAGUUACGCCAAAAAUUUCAUUGGCCGCUUUACGCGCUUUAAAUGAAUUCAACAACAAGCAUGGUAUUCAUAUAAUCUACAAUGCGGAAAGAACCGUGAACAACAAAGAAGAAAAAACCGGUAUAAAGCCUUUUCCAGGAUACAACAUACAGCACUUGGUGCGCUUCGUGAAACCUCAGAAAAGGUGCCACUACCAGACCGGUAGACAACAGAGUUGACUCAUGAAUUCGACAAGUGACGCCUUCGCAUUCAAGGUUUUCCGGUUAUUAUCUAACAACUUUACGCACCGGGAUAAGUAUGCGUCGAAGAACAUUGAGUGAGAAUACCAGAGCAUCUUGCUUUAAGUGAAUUGUGUUCUUACCUCGCAGUGCCGAGGCCACGCAGCAGUUCUGCAGGCAGUGUUGGCUCAGGAGUGUUCACGGCAUUAAGGAAUUUGACGUCCUAAAGGGCCUGAAUAGCUGGUAGA